rnacentral:snoRNA from 1 species
AAAGCAGAGCUGCUGGAAUCCCAAGGGUAGUGUGCUAUUUGAGGGCAAGUUUUCCAUAACACCACAAGUGUCUCUGGCCCAACGAGUGGAGCUGGACAGUAAUACCUGCUACAAGU